UUCUCUCUCUCACUCCAUACGGUUGCUGAGUUAACUCUUCUCAUUUGAAAUUAACUCAUUUCUCUCUCUCCAAAACCAAACGAAGCCCUAAUAGAAGAAGAAAACUCUGCCGGACGGUGCCGCUCAUAUGCACACAAGGAUUGCAAAAUAACGGGCGACGGCUGAAAAUUAUUUUUCUGGGCAAUUGUGUAAUCUUUUGGUAAAGGCACUUCCUUCUACGUGAUUCAGAAUUUGCUGUUCUUAAAUGUGAUACCAUUCUUCCAAGCAGAAGUGAGGCAUACAAUGCAUUCAUUCGCCCAUACAAUGCAUUCAUUCGCCAACAACGAAAUCAAAGACAGAGGGAUUGGAGAAAUCGAGUCAAAGCUGGACGAAUUGAUUCUCGAAAAAGGGUAACUGACACAGUAUUAUCUGAAAAUACUAAUUUUAGUUCUGCCCAUGUAAAUAAAGCAGUAAUAUGCCAUGAUUUCGAGGCUUCUACUUCAAACCAAGAAACAACUGAUGUUUCUAAAUGUGUAAAACUUGUGAACAUACCAAAUACUGCAUAUGUAUAACUGAUAUGUACUUAUUGUAAAUAUGGCGGUGCACGAAAAUUUCAUAGAAAAAGUAAAGGUUUUUGUUGCUCAGAUGGAAAAGUUAAACUUUGUAUGUCCGAUUCACCAACUGAACUCUAUACUUUGUUUACUUCUAAAGAGUCCAGGUGUAUGGAAUUUAAGAAAAUUUUGAGAGGAUAUAAUAACCACUUUGCAUUCA